rnacentral:rRNA from 1 species
UACGUAGGAUGCAAGCGUUGUCCGGAAUUAUUGGGCGUAAAAGAGCGCGCAGGCGGUAUGACAAGUCAGAUGUGAAAGAGGCCGGCUUAACCGGCAAGGGUCAUUUGAAACUGUCAGACUAGAGUGCAGCAGAGGAUAGUGGAAUUCCCGGUGUAGUGGUGAAAUGCGUAGAUAUCGGGAGGAACACCAGUGGCGAAGGCGACUAUCUGGGCUGCAACUGACGCUGAGGCGCGAAGGCUAGGGUAGCAAACAGG